AAUAGCAUUGUUAAAAAUAAAUGAAUGUAUCAAUAAUAACAUUCAACAAAGAUUGCAUGGCACACACAUUAACACAUUGUCUUCCCUGUCUUUGCCAGUAGGUGGAGCUACAACAUUUUCUCAAAUCAGCAAGACUGAUCGAUUAUCGCAGAGAGAGAUAUUCAACUCUGCCUAUGUUGUGUCAGAGUAUUUUUGAUACUUUGUCAAUUAGCUAUGUUGCUGCUUUCAUCAUUUCUUCACCUCCUAGUCUUUGUUGGUGAGUGCUGUAUUCAAUUUGACAGUUUUCAUUUUAAGCCCAGAAUGUAUUUCAAAGUUGUCAAAAAUAGAGUAUCACUAAAUUGUUUUAUGAUAAUAGAAGGAGAAAGGCAUUAUCAACAGACCAAAAAGUCAAAAACAGCAGCAUGUUUUUCCUUUCUUGACAGGUAGCAGUUUUGAAGAUUUGAAACCAGCAGUUUUGAAACCAACUAGGCCUAUGGUGGGUGGUGGGUGGUGUGGAGGGUGAUACCAUCACACCAUCCUGCAGCUACACUGGCUCUGUAAACAAUCUACAGUGGUAUCGUUAGUAUCCCAGGUCAAAACCAGUGUUCCUGAUUCUCAGCACGAAGUCUGGAUAUGUCCAGAAACUUGUCCUUCAUCGCUUUCCAGCUCAGGUUCAUACAGACCGUGUGGAUCUGAAGAUCUCCUCUACUGAAGUGACACUCUGCUCUGUACUACUAUGCCAUAGAGCCCAUAGUGACAGGAAACACUUCCUCAUUCAUAAAGCUGACAGUAUGACACAAAUUUGCAGAUGGUAUAUAUAGUAUAGAAUAGUAUAGUAUUGUGGAUCUAUUGAAAAAACAAACAAAGAAUAAAGCAAAAACGAGACAUUUUCAGAUAGAAAUGAAGUCUAAUAUAAUCUGAGGAGGCCAAAAGGAACUGAAAACCCUUAACCACAACACAGAAGAAGAGUUACAUAUCCAGUUAUCAGAGGAGGGGCCUCAAAGUCAAACACUGGUAUAGGCUGGGUAUACCUGCAACCAUGAGGAUGUCUCUGUAGAGGAUCUCCUCAGCUCUCUCACUGUCUUAUCUCUCAGUUGGUUUAUCUAGUCUGUGUCAGGAUGUCACUCAUAUUACUGUUGCUCCUCUCAGCGUUUGUAGGUGAGUGCUGAAUUCUCAGCUUAAACCAAAUAACAUUUUGAAUGCAGUGACAUUGCUUUUAUCAAUGAAUGAUUGCAUUAAAAACUAAGUGGUAUUUUACUGGAAAGCUUCAAUUCUUUCUCAUGUCAUACUUUAUGGACACCUAACCCAUGUAUUGUUUCUCAUUUGGAAUAAACAUUAACACAAUGACAAUACUUACGUUGUUGCAGGUGAUAGUAUGGAGCAGGAAACAAUAACUCCAGUGAAGCCUGAAGUCAAUGUCCUCCAAGGAACAGAUAUCACUCUCUCCUGCAAAUACAAGGGCAACAUUAUCAAUCUACAAUGGUACCGUCAAUACCCCGGAUCCAUACCAGAAUGUCUACUUUUGAUCCAACAAAGCAGCAUGUAUGUACAGAAUACAUCCAUUACGACUCCACGACACACUGGUAGACUGAAAGAAGAGAAGACCCAGAUAAACCGUUUGGAUCUGGAGAUCUCCUCUGCUGUAGUGACAGACUCGGCUCUGUACUACUGUGCUGUGAGGCCCACAGUGACAGGAAAAUUCCUUCCAAUUUGAUGUGUAUUCGUAUUCUGCUACAGUCAGGACUCUUAACCACAUCAUAUACAUACAAUAUGCAUCGUUUACAUAACAUCAUUGUUCUCAACAUGGACCUGCUCAGUGGUUUAUUCCUCUGGUGGUAAAUGCAUGUACUGCACUCUUUAGAGGAGCAUACCUGAAGCAAACUGACUGAUAAUGGACCAGACA